CCUGAGGGAGGGGGCGGGGCCAGGGUGGGCACGUGACACCCCCUGGGGGGGCUCCAGGCGGGAGGGGGAGGGAACCACCCCCUAUGGGACUGUGCUGUGCCCCACUGCGACCCACAUCUGCCCCCUGGGACCCCACUGCGACCCACAUCUGCCCCCCCGGGACCCAUAUCCCCCCCAUGGGACCCACUGCGACCCAUAUCUGCCCCCCUGGGACCACCCAGUGCCCCAAUGUGACCCACAUCCCGCCCCACUGGGACCCACAUCCCCCCCAUGGGACCCACUGCGACCCAUAUCUGCCCCCCUGGGACCCCCCAGUGCCCCAAUGUGACCCACAUCCCGCCCCACUGGGACCCACAUCCCCCCCAUGGGACCCACUGCGACCCAUAUCUGCCCCCCUGGGACCCCCCAGUGCCCCAAUGUGACCCACAUCCCGCCCCACUGGGACCCACAUCCCCCCCAUGGGACCCACUGCGACCCAUAUCUGCCCCCCUGGGACCCCCCAGUGCCCCAAUGUGACCCACAUCCCGCCCCACUGGGACCCACAUCCCCCCCAUGGGACCCACUGCGACCCAUAUCUGCCCCACUGGGACCCCCCAGCGCCCCACUGCGACCCACAUCUGCCCCCCCGGGACCCCCAGCGCCCCACUGGGACCCACAUCCCGCCCCACUGGGACCCACAUCCCCCCCAUGGGACCCACUGCGACCCAUAUCUGCCCCACUGGGACCCCCAGUGCCCCAAUGUGACCCAUAUAUCCCCCAUGGGACCCCGCUGCGACCCACAUCCGAGCCCCCGGGACCCCACUGCAACCCCCAGCGCCCCACAUGCCCCCCCCCACGGGACCCCACUGGGACCCCCAGUGCCCCACAUGGGCCCCCCAUGGGACCCCACUGGGACCCACAUCCGCCACGGGAGCCCUGGGACCCCCAGCGCCCCACCGCGACCCACAUAUCCACCCUGGGACCCCCCGGGACCCAUUGGGACCCACAUCCGACCCCCCCCAUGGGACCCGUGACCCACAUCCCCCCCUGGGACCCCACCGGGACCCACAUCUGCCCCCCCUGGGACCCCAUUGGGACCCCCAGCGCCCCACAUCACCCCCCCGGGAUCCCAUGGUGACCCCCAGCGCCCCACGGUGACCCACAUCACCCUGGGACCCACAACCCCCCUGGGGCCCCCCUGCUGUGACCCCCCCACACUCCCACGGGACCCCCAGCGCCCCACUGCGACCCCCAUCUGCCACGAGACCCCCAGCGCUGCUCUGCGACCCCCACGUGCCGCGGGACCCCCACGUGCCGUGGACCCCACGUGAGCCUGCCGCGACCCACGGCGCCCGCCGGACUGUGCGGGGGCCCCAGCGCCCCACCGCGACCCACAUCUGCCCCCUGGGACCCACCGCGACCCACACCCGCCCCCUGGGACCCCAUUGGGACCCACAUCCGCCAUGGGACCCCACUGGGACCCCCAGCGCCCCACUGCGCCCCACAGCCCCCCUGCCAUGGGACCCCACUGGGACCCCCAGCACCCCACUGUGACCCACAUCCCCCCCUGGGACCCCACUGGGACCCACAUCUGCCCCCCUGUGGGGCCUGACUGUGACCCACAUUCCCCUGGGACCCCACGCUGCGACCCCCACUCCCACGGGACCCACGGCGCCCCACUGCGACCCACAUCCCCCCCCCCCCGGGACCCCACUGGGACCCACAUCCACCACGGGACCCCCAGGACUCCCAGCGCCCCACAUCUGCCCCCCUGGGACCCCAUUGGGACCCCCAGUGCCCCACAUGACCCCCCCCCCGACUCCACUGGGACCCUCCUGCUGUGACCCCCACUCCCACGGGACCCCCAGCGCCCCACUGCGCCCCACAUCUGCCCCCCGGGACCCCCAGCGCCUGACUGCGCCCCACAUCCGCUGUGGACCCCACAUGAGCCUGCCGCGACCCACGGCUGCUGCCGGACCGUGCUGGGACCCCAGCGCCCCACUGCGACCCCCAUCUGCCCCCUGGGACCCACAUCUGCCCCACAUCACCCCCGGGACCCCACUGGGACCCUACUGCGACCCACAUCCACCAUGGGACCCCACCGGGACCCACAUCUGCCCCCUGGGACCCCCAGCACCCUAUUGCGACCCCCAGCGCCCCACUGCGACCCACAUCUGCCCCCCCGGGACCCUCCUGCUGUGACCCCCACUCCCGUGGGACCCCCAGCGCCCCACAUCCGCCACAAGACCCGACUGCGACCCCCGUGUGCCGCGGGACCCCCAGCGCCCCACAUCUGCCGUGGACCCCACCGCCCCACUGCGACCCACAUCUGCCCCCCCGGGACCCUCCUGCUGUGACCCCCACUCCCGUGGGACCCCCAGCGCCCCACAUCCGCCACAAGACCCGACUGCGACCCCCGUGUGCCGCGGGACCCCCAGCGCCCCACAUCUGCCGUGGACCCCACGUGAGCCUGCCGCGACCCACGGCGCCCGCCGGGCUGUGCUGGGGCCCCAGCGCCCCACUGCGCCCCACAUCUGCCCCCUGGGACCCACUGCGACCCACACCCGCCCCCUGGGACCCCAUUGGGACCCACAUCCGCCAUGUGAGCCCUGGGACCCCCAGCGCCCCACUGCGACCCACAGCCCCCCUGCCAUGGGACCCCACUGGGACCCCCAGCACCCCACUGUGACCCACAUCCCCCCCCGGGACCCCACUGCGACCCACAUCUGCCCCCUUGGGACCCUCCUGCUGUGACCCCCCCACUCCCAUGGGACCCCCAGUGCCCCACUGCGACCCACAUCUGCUCCCUUGGGACCCCACUGGGACCCCCAGCACCCCAUGGUGACCCACAUCUGGCCCCUGGGACCCCCAGCGCCCCACAUCACCCCCAUGGGACCCCACUGGGACCCACAUCCACCCCCCCAUGGGACCUGUGACCCACAUCAGCCCCCCCGGGACCCUCCUGCUGCGACCCCCACGGGACCCCCAGCGCCCCACUGCGACCCACAUCACCCCCAGGACCCACAUCCGCCAGGAGACCCCCCAGCGCCCCACUGUGCCCCCCAGCUGCCGUGGACCCCACGUGAGCCUGCCGCAACCCACGGCGCCCGCCGGACUGUGCUGGGACCCCGGCGCCCCACUGCGACCCACAUCUGCCCCCUGGGACCCACAUCUGCCCCCAUGGGAUACCUGGGACCCCCAGUGCCCCACAUCACCCCCCUGGGGCCCCACUGGGCCCCAUAUCUGCCCCCUGGGACCCCACUGGGACCCCCAGUGCCCCACUGGGACCCACGUCACCCCCCAUGGGACCCCACCGGGACCCACAUCUGCCUGCCCCAUUGUGACCCACAUCCCCCCUGGGGCCCACGGCGACCCACAUCUGCCUCCUUGGGACCCCACUGGGACCCACAUCCCCCCCCCGGGACCUCAGUGGGACCCACAUCUGCCCUCUGGGACCCCCCGGGACCCCCAGUGCCCCAUUGUGACCCACAUCUGACCCGUGGGACCCCGUUGGGACCCACUGCGACCCACAUUGGCCGACUGGGACCCCUAGUGCCCCAUAUAUCCCCCCUGGGACCCCCCCGGGACCCACAUCCACCCCCCCAUGGGACCUGGGACCCACAUCUGCCCCCCCGGGACCCCAUGGGCACCCCCAGCGCCCCACUGCGACCCAUAUUGCCCCCCACGGGACCCCACUGGGACCCACAUCUGCACCCCUGGGAUCCCACUGGGACCCCCCCCGUGCCCCACGGUGACCCACAACUGCCCUGGGACCCCCCUGCUGCGACCCCCAGCGCCCCACUGCGACCCACAUCCGCCACAGGACCCCCAGCGCCCCACUGCGCCCCACAUCUAGCCCCUGGGACCCCCAGUGCCCCACAUCUGCCCCCAUGGGACCCCACUGGGACCCCCAGUGCCCCACUGGGACCCACAUUCCCCCUCCCUGGGACCCCACUGUGACCCACAUCUGCCCCCUGGGACUCUCUAGGACCCACAUCACCCCCCCCCAGGGCCCACGUUCCCCCAUGGGCCCCCCCAGUGCCCCACUGCGACCCACAUCCCCCGCUGUGACCCAUAUCUGCCCCCUGGGACCCCAUGUCACCCCCCCCGGGACCCCGUUGUGACCCACAUCUGCCCCAUGGGGAGCUACUGGGACCCACAUCCACCAUGGGACCCCCAGCGCCCCACUGCGACCCACAUCUACCCCCCCGGGACCCCCAGCGCCCCACAUUCCCCCCCCCGCCUGGGGACCCCACUGCGACCCCCAUCUUCCUCUUGGGCCCCCCCCAACCCCCCCAGCUGCCCCCCAAGUGGCUGCACAGUGCCCGUUUCCCCCCCCCCCUUUCUCCCCGGACGCCUGGGCCCCUCAGGCAGCAGCGCUGCACGGGGGGAGGGGGGGGCACCUCCACGCACACGCCAAGCACAUGCUUACACACGCCAAGCACACGCUUACACACGCCAAGCACACGCUAAGCACACGUGACCCCCCCCCCCACAGAGAGACGGAGCCCCGCGCGUGUAGGGGGAGGCGUUUAUUGGCGCGGGGGGGGGCCACACACGCGUGUGCGGGGGGGGGAACACGCGUGAACACGCGUGAACACGCGUGCGCUCACUGCACCGCCUGCUCGUUGGCGCCGCCGCUCGAGUCCUGCGGCUUCAUGACGUCGGGCAGCUCCGGGGGGCUGGAGAAGGCGUCGAUGCGCAGCGCCUCGAAGGCCUCGUCUGCCGGCAAGAGCCCCGUUAUCCCCCGAAUUCACCCCAAAAACCAGCCCCCGACCCCCCCCGUGGCACCUCGCGGCCCCCCUGGACCCAAAUCCCCCUGAAAUCGCCCCAAAAAUCACACCUGGGGGAGGAGGGAGAGGGUGGCAAUGCGCAGCGCCUCGAAGGCCUCGUCUGCCGGCAAGAGCCCCGUUAUCCCCCGAAUUCACCCCAAAAACCGGCCCCGAAACGGCCCCCGACCCCCCUGCGGCGCCUCGCGGCCCCCCUGGACCCAAAUCCCCCUGAAAUUGCCCCAAAAACACCCCCCCGGGGGGAGGGGGGGGAGAGGGUGGCAAUGCGCAGCACCUUGAAGGCCUCGUGUGUGGGUGCUGGGGAGACCCAAAUUGCCCUGAAUUAGCCCCAAAAUCAGCUCCAAAAUCCCCCCUGGGGCCCUAAAAAUUUUCCUAGGAGCCCAAAAUAUCCUAAAGUGCCCCAAAAUGCCCUGAAAUCCACCCAAAAUCCAUCCCGGGGCGGGGGGGGGGGGGGGAGGGCAGCGAUGUGCAGCACCUCGAAGGUCGUGUGCCCCCCCCCCCCCGAGACCCAAAUUGCCCUGAAUUAGCCCCAAAAUCAGCCCCCAAAUUACCCCCUGGGGCCCUAGAAACCUUCUCGGGAGUCUAAAAUAUCCCCAAACACCCCAAAAUGUCCCAAAAUCACCUGAAAUUGCCCCAAAAUCCCCCCCCAAGGAGCAAUAAACUGCUUUUUGAGCAAAAA